ACGGGAGGCAGCAGUGGGGAAUAUUGCACAAUGGGCGCAAGCCUGAUGCAGCGACGCCGCGUGAGCGAAGAAGUAUUUCGGUAUGUAAAGCUCUAUCAGCAGGGAAGAUAAUGACGGUACCUGACUAAGAAGCACCGGCUAAAUACGUGCCAGCAGCCGCGGUAAUACGUAUGGUGCAAGCGUUAUCCGGAUUUACUGGGUGUAAAGGGAGCGUAGGCGGUCUAGCAAGUCUGAUGUGAAAACCCGGGGCUCAACUUCGGGAUUGCAUUGGAAACUGUCAGACUAGAGUGUCGGAGGGGUAAGUGGAAUUCCUAGUGUAGCGGUGAAAUGCAUAGAUAUUAGGAGGAACACCAGUGGCGAAGGCGGCUUACUGGACGAUUACUGACGCUGAGGCUCGAAAGCGUGGGGAGCAAACAGGAUUAGAUACCCUGGUA
rnacentral:rRNA from 1 species